AUACGGAGGGUGCAAGCGUUAAUCGGAAUUACUGGGCGUAAAGCGCGCGUAGGCGGUUUGCUCAGUCGGAUGUGAAAGCCCAGGGCUCAACCUUGGAACUGCAUACGAUACUGGCAAACUAGAGUGUGAGAGAGGAUAGUGGAAUUUCCGGUGUAGCGGUGAAAUGCGUAGAUAUCGGAAGGAACAUCAGUGGCGAAGGCGACUGUCUGGCUCAACACUGACGCUGAGGUGCGAAAGCGUGGGGAGCGAACAGGAUUAGAAACCCUAGUAGUCC
rnacentral:rRNA from 1 species